rnacentral:rRNA from 1 species
GGCUUAUUGACAAUAAUUUUAAGUCUGGCCUGCCCAAUGAGUGAUUGAAUGGCCGCGGUAUACUGACCGUGCAAAGGUAGCAUAAUCAUUAGUUUUUUAAUUGAAAGCUUGAAUGAAUGGUUCAAUGAAAAAAUUUCUGUCUCUGUAAAAGUUUAUUAGAAUUUUAUUUUUAAGUAAAAAAGCUUAAAUAUUUAUAGAAGACGAGAAGACCCUAUAGAGUUUUAUACAACUAGUUAAGUGGAUAUUAUUAGGUUAAAAUUUGAUGUUUAUUUUGUUAUUGUAUUUUAUUGGGGUGAUAGAAAAAUUAAUUAAACUUUUUUUUGUUGAAAAACAUUUAUUUGUGAAUUUUUGAUCCUAAAAUUUAGAUUAAAAGAUUAAAUUACCUUAGGGAUAACAGCGUUAUAUUUUUUAGAGUUCUUAUCGAAGAAAAAGAUUGCGACCUCGAUGUUGGAUUAAAAUAAAUUAUUGGUGUAGAAGCUGAAUAAUUAGGUCUGUUCGACCUAUAAAAUUUUACAUGAUCUGAGUUUAGACCGGUGUGAG